UACGUAGGGUGCAAGCGUUGUCCGGAAUUAUUGGGCGUAAAGAGCUCGUAGGCGGUUUGUCGCGUCUGGUGUGAAAAUCCAGGGCUUAACCCUGGACCUGCAUCGGGUACGGGCAGACUAGAGUGCGGUAGGGGAGAUCGGAAUUCCUGGUGUAGCGGUGAAAUGCGCAGAUAUCAGGAAGAACACCGGUGGCGAAGGCGGCUCUCUGGGCCUUACCUGACGCUGAGGAGCGAAAGCGUGGGUAGCGAACAGG
rnacentral:rRNA from 1 species